rnacentral:rRNA from 1 species
AACGAACGCUGGCGGCAUGCCUAACACAUGCAAGUCGAACGAGACCUUCGGGUCUAGUGGCGCACGGGUGCGUAACGCGUGGGAACCUGCCUUUAGGUUCGGAAUAACUCAGAGAAAUUUGAGCUAAUACCGGAUGAUGUCUUCGGACCAAAGAUUUAUCGCCUUUAGAUGGGCCCGCGUUGGAUUAGCUAGUUGGUGGGGUAAAGGCCUACCAAGGCGACGAUCCAUAGCUGGUCUGAGAGGAUGAUCAGCCACACUGGGACUGAGACACGGCCCAGACUCCUACGGGAGGCAGCAGUGGGGAAUAUUGGACAAUGGGCGAAAGCCUGAUCCAGCACUGCCGCGUGAGUGAUGAAGGCCUUAGGGUUGUAAAGCUCUUUUACCCGAGAUGAUAAUGACAGUAUCGGGAGAAUAAGCCCCGGCUAACUCCGUG